AAGGCCUCCGCAUUACUGGAAUCCAGGGUUCACCCGUGCGAAGUCCUGGGGUGCGGGGCUGCAUCUUUUCCUGGACCUUCUUUCUCCAAUGCAGUUGUCCGUCGUGGAGAAAGUUCUCGGUUUGAGUUCUAAUGGAAUCUACAGCUCCUCCCCACCCCCGACUAAAGGGCAUAUCGUUCUGUCCUGAGAGGAAGAGAUGGCUUCUGUUUCGCCGCCGAAAGAAUAGCGACGAGGAGCAAUCAGGAUUAUGCGGGCCCCGGACCUUGUCUUGGAUGCUUCUGUCUCAGUUUCCUCGCUGGGAAGAUGAGAAGAAAAAUCUAUCUGCUGUAGAUGCGUAAGACGGAACGGUAUGUAUAUUGCACACAGAGACAAGCAUGCAAGAGUUUUCUAGCUUUUCCCUCUGCACCCAGAGCAGUAGCUACUAUUUAUUUAUUUAUUUUUAGUUCUGGCCAUAUUCUCCGCAUUGUGCUAAGGCUAGGCCUUGAGAUGCUCUUCUACAUUGGAAUAUGCUCAAUAAACGACUGUAUAUCCUUGUACCCUUGUCAACCCCAAACAACUUGACUAUUUGAAGGUCAAAGGUCAGUUUUGGGAAGUCACUGGACAGCAUUUGUAUCUAUAGCGAAGCUGCCAAGCAAUAAUGCUUUCUAUUCUAAGCACACCAAGAGAAAUUCAAUUUUUUUAAAAAAGAGUAUAUUUUACAUAAACAUAUUUUAAAAAAUCACCAGCUAUAACACAUUUCCUGAAAGAAAUCUAUCACACAUAUUGUCUCUAUAGCUUGGCUAACAUACACAAUCUUCUACUUAUGCUUGGUAACCUCUAUCAAGCCUCCAAAGAGUCUCACCUUUAGAGGUUUGAAAGGGGAUCGAUGGGACAGCUUUGGUCUGCCAAUUGGGUAAUGUCAUACAGUAAGAAAUUGCUGGCCAAGAAGACCUAACAACCAUGGGGUGUGGCAUCUCACUUGGGGCACUAUGGUUGUGAACGGCUAACUGGUAUACCACUCUCUUGAGCAUGCUCCCCUCCGUGGUGGUUGGAAGAGUGGGUGCAAAAGAGCAGGUUCAAGGCAGCUCGCUCUUAUUCAAAUAGAUUCUCGCACAAACCAGAAGAGGAACUUACAUGAGUGUAGAGCACACUUUAAAUUUCUAGCAGCCUUCCGUGUUUUCUUUUAAUUUUUUGUUAUUAAUUUUACAUAUCUACCACAGUUCUCCCUCCGCUUUUCCUGCUCCCUGCCAUCUCACUCUCCAACCUACUUGCCCCCCAUUCUAGUCCUCCAAAAGGGUAAAGUCUGGCACAUUAAGUUGAGGUAGGGUCAAGGCCCUCCCCCUUGCAUCAAGGCUGA